GUGCUUGCUUCAGCAGCACAUAUACUAAAAUUGGAACAACACAGAGAAGAUUAGCAUGGCCACUGCACAAAGAUGACAUGCAAAUCUGAAAGCAUUCCGUGUUUUUU